UACAAGCUGUCACUCAAGAAUGUCAAAGUUUGACCAACCUGAAACAUGAUUCCAACCUGGUGGAAUUGAACUGUGUCACUGCAGUUUCCAGUGGUCACAAUGAAGGCCUUUAUCAUCCUUCACUGUUUUCUAGCAGCAAAACACAAGGACAAGGAAUUUUUGAAUCCAUAAAUCUCUGCAAGGAAUUUAAUGGUCAUGUUCAAAGUAGACUUGGCCCCCAGGAGAAGAGUAAAUUCUUGUGGACUAUUGCAUGCUAUCAAAAUUAAAAUGAUCCAGAAUUGCCAAUUGGGAAUCAUCCAAGAAGUCAAACUGGACUAAUACCAACGCUAUCAAAUUGCUGUUAUUGCAAUGUUGGAGGAAUACACAGUAAGGAAACAUGAUGCAAAACAUGUAGUUGACUGCACCUGUACCAUAAGAAGAGGCAUCACAAGCAAGCUUCACUGCAUGAUGUGGAUCAUAAUGAGUGAGU